rnacentral:rRNA from 2 species
UGCAUAUCAAUAAGCGGAGGAAAAGAAACCAACAGGGAUUGCCCUAGUAAUGGCGAAUGAACAGGCAAAAGCUCAGAUUUGAAACCCUCGGGAUUGUAGUCUGAAGAACCGGAUUUGGAAUGCUGGCCAAGUCUUCUGGAAUGGAGCGCCAUGGAGGGUGACAGCCCCGUAGCAGCGCCGUUGUAAAUCCGGUUCCACGAGUCGAGUUGUUUGGGAAUGCAGCUCUAAGUGGGUGGUAUGCUCCAUCUAAAGCUAAAUAUUGGCGAGAGACCGAUAGCGAACAAGUACUGUGAAGGAAAGAUGAAAAGAACUUUGAAAAGAGAGUGAAAUAGUACGUGAAAUUGUUGAAAUGGAAGGCAAUGAGGCGCGAUUGAAGCGGGCGUUUGGGGGCAGGACAAAAGCGCGGGCCGCUUCGGCACUGCCUGCGUGCAUACUGCCUCCCGGACUACCGGUUCUAACAACGCCUUACUGCACCCGUCUUGAAACA